rnacentral:rRNA from 1 species
GACGAACGCUGGCGGCGUGCUUAACACAUGCAAGUCGAACGGAAAGGCCCUGCUUUUGUGGGGUGCUCGAGUGGCGAACGGGUGAGUAACACGUGAGUAACCUGCCCUUGACUUUGGGAUAACUUCAGGAAACUGGGGCUAAUACCGGAUAGGAGCUCCUGCUGCAUGGUGGGGGUUGGAAAGUUUCGGCGGUUGGGGAUGGACUCGCGGCUUAUCAGCUUGUUGGUGGGGUAGUGGCUUACCAAGGCUUUGACAGGUAGCCGGCCUGAGAGGGUGACCGGCCACAUUGGGACUGAGAUACGGCCCAGACUCCUACGGGAGGCAGCAGGGGGGAAUAUUGCACAAUGGGCGGAAGCCUGAUGCAGCAACGCCGCGUGCGGGAUGACGGCCUUCGGGUUGUAAACCGCUUUCGCCUGUGACGAAGCGUGAGUGACGGUAAUGGGUAAAGAAGCACCGGCUAACUACGUG